CAGCGGGCUCGGCGGGAGGAAGGAGAAAGAAGAGGAGGCGGCGGCGGAGGAGGAGCGGGGCACAUAAACCAGGGCACUUCAGUUGUCUCAUGUUUCCUUCUGUUGAGAGUUCACACUUCGCGUCGGAACUUUUGCGCACAAAUGGUGCAAUUAGCAGGCACAAAAGCCCUUGUUCGUGACGCCUGUGUUCGCAAGCUAGCUUUAAGAAAACUUGUGCUUUUUUUUUUCCUUUUUAUUCCCUUUAAACUCAUUUGGACAGGAGUUCGCCCGAACCCCCCUCCUCCGCCCUUCUUUAGGCGGUGUGUGGCAUUUGUUUGCCAGUUUAAAAAACCCAGCUCUGUUUGCUCUGAUGUUCUUUUAGCUGAGGCUGUGUUGGGGCUGGUGAACUGCCUGGGCUUUAGUGACCGAUGAGGUGUUAAAUGCUAAUCCAACAUCUUUCGAAACAAACUAGGAUUUUGUUGGAACAUUUUCAAGCAAGCAAGCAAACAAACAAGUGCCUGGUUGUCCAGAUAGGGAGGAAGGUUGAUGGGGGUUUUUUUUUUGUUUGUUUUUAAUAGCGUUUAAAUUACUUUAUUUUGUUUUUAAACAGUGGAGCCUGCAGAAACAAACUGGUUGGACAGUUCGAUGCUUUUAUUCCCCUCCAGCGGCCUGGGGCGUUAUGAGCCAUUGUUCCGGGGAUCCAAGCCCUGCCCCCCCCCCCCUUCCUGCGGUCACCCACCGCGCGCUGGGGGGUUGCGCUCGUUAAUCAUUACUGGGCAGCUAGCUCGGCUUCCGACGGAGGAGCCGGUCUGGCGCGGUUGCCGGGUCUAGGUGCAUUCUGGGCGCGCGGAGCCGGGCGGGCUGUCCCCACCAGCGGCGUGUCGUGGGGGAAGUCCUACCGCAAGGCCUGCGGGGGCCCGCGCAGGCUCCGCGAUCGGCUACGGUAGACUAGAGAGGCCUGUCAGAGGGGAGCCUUCGGUCUCACCCUGACAACCCCCUCCACUGCGGGUCGCAGGGCACUAGCGAGCACCAGCUGCGCCUGCGCGCUGCGCUCCUGGCCAGCACCCGGUCGCCCCCGCCUCCUGGCUCAGCUGGCGCUGGGCGUUGGGCUACCCUGAGGUCGGGUGGGGGGCCGAAAGCGGGCCUCUGGGGUUCCGACGCGGCCUGGGGUGGGUAAGAGGCGAGGAGGAGUGCCUGCCGGGACCCCUUGCUCCCACGGAGAGCUGGGAGUCGCAGGGAACGUCUCGGCCGCUCUGCAGGGCCAGCAGGCCUUCCCACCCCAAGACGUUCCAGUCACUGGGUCCUGGGGCCGAGGCAGGACGCUCUGCAGUCGAACUGCGAAGGGUAAAAUCUUUCAGCCUGGGAUCUCCAACAGAAGAGACAGGGAGGGAAGUCGGUUGUUACUUAGCUAUUGUAAAAGUGCACUACCUGGGCAUGAAUUUGGGAGGAUAACCGCAACACUUCUCAAACCUGAAGACAGAGACGCUUAGUUUGACCUAUGCUUCCGAAUCCUACAUCAACGGAAUGUCAGUUCUUCUCAGCACUUUCUAGAAAAUGCCAUUCGGACCACUCGGUUCUAAGAAGAGGGGCGUAAAGGGUCUUUGAAGCGUGGUGGCCAGGGUUGAAAUUGUGCCCCGAUCACUUCCUAAACGUUCGGCCUUGGUUAAGUCAUCUUUUGUAAACCUCAUCUUCCAUGUGGCAUAAUGAAGAUAAUAAAAAUAUCCACUUCAUAGGU